AUUGAACGCUGGCGGCAGGCCUAACACAUGCAAGUCGAGCGGCAGCGGAAAGUAGCUUGCUACUUUGCCGGCGAGCGGCGGACGGGUGAGUAAUGUCUGGGAAACUGCCUGAUGGAGGGGGAUAACUACUGGAAACGGUAGCUAAUACCGCAUGACCUCGAAAGAGCAAAGUGGGGGAUCUUCGGACCUCACGCCAUCGGAUGUGCCCAGAUGGGAUUAGCUAGUAGGUGAGGUAAUGGCUCACCUAGGCGACGAUCCCUGGCUGGUCUGAGAGGAUGACCAGCCACACUGGAACUGAGACACGGUCCAGACUCCUACGGGAGGCAGCAGUGGGGAAUAUUGCACAAUGGGCGCAAGCCUGAUGCAGCCAUGCCGCGUGUGUGAAGAAGGCCUUAGGGUUGUAAAGCACUUUCAGCGAGGAGGAAGGCACCAUACUUAAUACGUGUGGUGAUUGACGUUACUCGCAGAAGAAGCACCGGCUAACUCCGUGCCAGCAGCCGCGGUAAUACGGAGGGUGCAAGCGUUAAUCGGAAUUACUGGGCGUAAAGCGCACGCAGGCGGUUUGUUAAGUCAGAUGUGAAAUCCCCGCGCUUAACGUGGGAACUGCAUUUGAAACUGGCAAGCUAGAGUCUUGUAGAGGGGGGUAGAAUUCCAGGUGUAGCGGUGAAAUGCGUAGAGAUCUGGAGGAAUACCGGUGGCGAAGGCGGCCCCCUGGACAAAGACUGACGCUCAGGUGCGAAAGCGUGGGGAGCAAACAGG
rnacentral:rRNA from 1 species